rnacentral:rRNA from 1 species
AGCGAACGCUGGCGGCAGGCCUAACACAUGCAAGUCGAACGAACCUUUCGGGGUUAGUGGCGGACGGGUGAGUAACACGUGGGAACGUGCCUUUAGGUUCGGAAUAACUCAGGGAAACUUGUGCUAAUACCGAAUGAGCCCUUCGGGGGAAAGAUUAAUCGCCUUUAGAGCGGCCCGCGUCUGAUUAGCUAGUUGGUUGAGGUAAUGGCUCACCAAGGCGACGAUCAGUAGCUGGUCUGAGAGGAUGAUCAGCCACAUUGGGACUGAGACACGGCCCAAACUCCUACGGGAGGCAGCAGUGGGGAAUCUUGCGCAAUGGGCGAAAGCCUGACGCAGCCAUGCCGCGUGAAUGAUGAAGGUCUUAGGAUUGUAAAAUUCUUUCACCGGGGACGAUAAUGACGGUACCCGGAGAAGAAGCCCCGGCUAACUUCGUG